UAGCCUAAUGGUUAAGGCUAUGGAUUGCCAAUCCAGAGACGGCGGGUUCGAUUCCCGU
rnacentral:tRNA from 1 species